AAGGAUCAUUAAUGAAUUCACUAUGGAGUUGUUGCUGGCCUCUAGGGGCAUGUGCACGCUUCACUAGUCUUUCAACCACCUGUGAACUUUUGAUAGAUCUGUGAAGUCGUCUCUCAAGUCGUUAGACUUGGUUUGCUGGGAUGUAAACGUCUCGGUGUGACUACGCAGUCUAUUUACUUAUAACACCCCAAAUGUAUGUCUACGAAUGUCAUUUAAAGGGCCUUGUGCCUAUAAACCAUAAUACAACUUUCAACAACGGAUCUCUUGGCUCUCGCAUCGAUGAAGAACGCAGCGAAAUGCGAUAAGUAAUGUGAAUUGCAGAAUUCAGUGAAUCAUCGAAUCUUUGAACGCACCUUGCGCCCCUUGGUAUUCCGAGGGGCAUGCCUGUUUGAGUGUCAUUAAAUUCUCAAACUCACUCUGGUUUUUUCCAAUUGUGAUGUUUGGAUUGUUGGGGGCUGCUGGCCUUGACAGGUCGGCUCCUCUUAAAUGCAUUAGCAGGACUUCUCAUUGCCUCUGCGCAUGAUGUGAUAAUUAUCACUCAUCAAUAGCACGCAUGAAUAGAGUCUGGCUCUCUAACCGUCCGCAAGGACAAUUUGACAAUUUGACCUCAAAUCAGGUAGGACUACCCGCUGAACUUAA
rnacentral:rRNA from 1 species